rnacentral:rRNA from 1 species
CCUACGGGUGGCAGCAGUGAGGAAUAUUGGUCAAUGGACGAGAGUCUGAACCAGCCAAGUAGCGUGAAGGAUGACUGCCCUAUGGGUUGUAAACUUCUUUUAUAUGGGAAUAAAAUGUUCCACGUGUGGGAUUUUGUAUGUACCAUAUGAAUAAGGAUCGGCUAACUCCGUGCCAGCAGCCGCGGUAAUACGGAGGAGCCGAGCGUUAGCCGGAUUUAUUGGGUUUAAAGGGAGCGUAGGUGGAUUGUUAAGUCAGUUGUGAAAGUUUGCGGCUCAACCGUAAAAUUGCAGUUGAAACUGGCAGUCUUGAGUCCAGUAGAGUUGUGCGGAAUUCGUGGUGUAGCGGUGAAAUGCUUAGCUAUCACGCAGAACUCCGAUUGCGACGGCAGCUCACUGGCCUGCAACUGACACUGCGGCUCGACAGUGUGGGUAUCACACAGGAUUAGCUACCCUUGUAGUC